rnacentral:rRNA from 1 species
AUUGAACGCUAGCGGGAUGCUUUACACAUGCAAGUCGAACGAGUGGCGGACGGGUGAGUAAUAUCUCGGAACGUGCCUAGUGGCGGGGGAUAACUACUCGAAACAGUGGCUAAUACCGCAUACACUCAGAGCGGCCCAUAUCGGAUUAGCUAGUUGGUGGGGUAAAGGCUCACCAAGGCAACGAUCCGUAGCUGGUUUGAGAGGACGACCAGCCACACUGGGACUGAGACACGGCCCAGACUCCUACGGGAGGCAGCAGUGGGGAAUUUUGGACAAUGGGGGAAACCCUGAUCCAGCCAUGCCGCGUGUAUGAGAAGGCCUUCGGGUUGUAAAGUACUUUUGGCAGAGAAGCGGUAUCUGCAGAAUAAGCACCGGCUAACUACGUGCCAGCCGCCGCGGUAAUUC